GAACGGUAGCACAGAGAGCUGCUUCUCGGGUGACGAGUGGCGGACGGGUGAGUAAUGUCUGGGAAACUGCCCGAUGGAGGGGGAUAACUACUGGAAACGGUAGCUAAUACCGCAUAACGUCUUCGGACCAAAGUGGGGGACCUUCGGGCCUCACACCAUCGGAUGUGCCCAGAUGGGAUUAGCUAGUAGGUGGGGUAAUGGCUCACCUAGGCGACGAUCCCUAGCUGGUCUGAGAGGAUGACCAGCCACACUGGAACUGAGACACGGUCCAGACUCCUACGGGAGGCAGCAGUGGGGAAUAUUGCACAAUGGGCGCAAGCCUGAUGCAGCCAUGCCGCGUGUAUGAAGAAGGCCUUCGGGUUGUAAAGUACUUUCAGCGGGGAGGAAGGCGAUGAGGUUAAUAACCUUAUCGAUUGACGUUACCCGCAGAAGAAGCACCGGCUAACUCCGUG
rnacentral:rRNA from 1 species